AUCCAUGCCUGCCCUCCCCUGCAGCACAUUCAGAACUCUUUUCCAUGCCCCCCCAAACUCCACUCGUCCUUUCUGCUUUCUGGGACUUCUCGGUUUCCCCUUCACUCCACCCCCUCGGACAACUUUCAUAAUGAUAGCUGGACCUACACACAGCUCUGAAAAUCUGCCCUUCCCUGGUACCUCCUUUGCCACUAAGCAUCUUUGUGUGUUGGGGGGGAGUUUCUUGAGCAA